UACUUUUGCUGAGUGGGUCUA
rnacentral:siRNA from 1 species